rnacentral:rRNA from 1 species
UGAGUACGAGACACUACGGUGUCGAAGCAGUCUAUGUCAUACUUCCAAGAAAAGCUUGCACUGUCAUAAACAAAUAAUGCCUGUACCAUAACCGACACAGGUGGGUAGGUAGAGUGUACUAAGGGGCGCGAGAUAACUCUCUCUAAGGAACUCGGCAAAAUGACUCCGUAACUUCGGGAGAAGGAGUGCCUUAUAUUUUAUAAGGUUGCAAUAACAAGAUCCAAGCAACUGUUUACCAAAAACACAGGUCUCCGCUAAGUCGUAAGACGAUGUAUGGGGGCUGACGCCUGCCCAGUGCCAGAAGGUUAAAGAAGUUGGUUAGUAUUUGCGAAGCUGAUAACUGAAGCCCUGGUGAACGGCGGCCGUAACGAUAACGGUCCUAAGGUAGCGAAAUUCCUUGUCGGGUAAGUUCCGACCCGCACGAAAGGCGUAAUGAUUUGGAUACUGUCUCGGAGAGGGACUCGGUGAAAUAGACUUGUCUGUGAAGAUGCGGACUACUUGCACCAGGACAGAAAGACCCUAUGAAGCUUUACUGUAACUUGAAAUUGAAAUUGGGCUUUACUUGCGCAGUAUAGGUGGGAGGCUUUGAGAAUAUUCUUGCGGGAAUAUUGGAGCCAUUAGUGAGAUACCACUCUGAUAAUGUUAGAUUUCUAACUUUGUAUCAUUAUCUGGUCAAAGAACAGUUUCAGGCGGGCAGUUUGACUGGGGCGGCCGCCUCCUAAACGGUAACGGAGGCGCACAAAGGUUUCCUCUGAACGGGUAGAAAUCGUAUCUAGAGUGUAAAGGCAUAAGGAAGCUUGACUGUGAGACCUACAAGGCGAGCAGGGACGAAAGUCGGUCUUAGUGAUCUGACGGUGCUGAGUGGAAAGGCCGUCACUCAACGGAUAAAAGUUACUCUAGGAUAACAGGCUGAUCUCCCCCAAGAGUCCACAUCGACGGGGAGGUUUGGCACCUCGAUGUCGGCUCAUCGCAUCCUGGGGCGGUAGUACGUCCCAAGGGUUGGGCUGUUCGCCCAUGAAAGCGGUACGCGAGCUGGGUUCAGAACGUCGUGAGACAGUUCGGUCCAUAUCCGGUGUAAGCGUUAGAAUAUUGAGAGGAGCCUUCUUUAGUACGAGAGGACCGAGAAGGAUGCACCGCUGGUGUACCAGUUAUUGUGCCAACAGUAAACGCUGGGUAGCUAUGUGUGGAGUGGAUAACCGCUGAAAGCAUCUAAGUGGGAAGCCCACCUCAAGAUAAGUAUUCUUAUCACGUAAGUGAAUAAGGUCACGGUAAGACUAACCGUUUGAUAGGCAUUAAGUGUAAAUCUAGUAAUAGACGAGCUGAGAUGUACUAACAGACCGAAGACUUGA